UGAUCAGCAAAGAAUACAACUGUCUGGUGAAAGGCUUGACCGUAUCAAAGUCCAAUGAUGUCGGGGGACACGGCCGUUCCAUGUCUGGGGAUUGCAUUUUAGCCGACACUAACAAGGGAGACAACUGAUGAUCUGCACCUGCAGUGAGUUAUUCCCCUUUAAUUGCUGUUGAAUUAAUUUAACGGACAAUAAAAAGGGAAUAAACUGAAGAUUUGCACCAGCAAAGAGCACCAGCCUUGAUAUAGAGUUGGUACGGCAACGACACAAGUCGGGCCCGCUGGAGCCCCAGUCCAGCACGACCCCUCCCCUGACCCUUAGCUCCUCCCAUUUGACCUCCGGCAUCAGAGAGUCAGCAUUGUUAAACAAUUCCAUCCCAUAGCAAUUUCUGAGCACAUAUAGUGUUCACACAUUUUUCUCAACAACCGCAAUGUCCGUGUUAAGUCUGGACUUGAGCCCUGAUUGGUUUGAUAGACUCAAGUGCUGGAGGUGGUAGAAGUGUUACAGACAUAAGAAGUUAUUGCAGCAGUUAUGGUAACACUAACAGUCAGCUCUCGCUGUUUGACAUUAAAUUGAAUAUUACGAAAAAAUACAAAGCUGGAUAACUCAUUCCAUUCUUUUUGGGACAAACAGACCUGCAGCAAGGAACAGGAGAAAAUCACGGGAAUGUUUGAAGAGUUUAAGUCAGAAGCGUAAGCUUUCCACCGGGGAUACUCCUGGAUGGUCUUAACUUAAGGGACAGUCCAGGUUUGUCCUCUCAGGUGUCCAAACUGUCCAAAGAGAAUGCAUUUAUUUUUGACCAGUUGCUAACAAAGAAAGGCAGUACCGACUUCGUUGUGAACAGUCAAGCAUGGUACAUCCCUGCGGAAUGCCUCAGGCAGGAAUUCCAUCUGCAACAAGGUGCUAAAGGUGAACCCAUCAGGGUGUGUUACUAACCACUUUAAGACCAAACAGCCUCACAUUGAUUUGAAGAUAAAGAAGGCGUUGAAAAAUGACAGCAGUUUUGAUGUGUCAUCCAGUUCGCUCUUCGACUCUCAACCCAACGUUAGUAAGAACGCAAACUCGGCAUUUAGCGUUAUCAGCGAGGCUCGAAGGUCAUCUCUGCUUCUUGAGCUUCAGAUAAAAUUAUAAGCCAACAAGUCGAACAUCGUUGAAUCAUUUCGCACAUAUACUUAAACUCGCUCAAGAAAUUCAGCACGUCACUUAUGAACAUCUUCUCGCAAGGCGGCUACAUCAACACUUCCAACAGCUGAGCCUUGGUGAGCUCCACUCCUGUCCCGAUGAGUCGCUCGAGGUGAAACAAUCUGAUCCACAGAUAGAGCAGACGCUGAAUGACUCGUCAGUUAACGUGACUGACCUCCAUAUGUUGCUCUCUAAUAAUGUGAACCUGACGCCUGAGGAGCAGUGUUGUCCUACAUUCCCUGUUCUGGGUGGUGACUUUGGGGAUGAGACUCACACAAUCUCUGUCUAUGGCCCUAUGGUAGCAGCAGCAGCAACAAAAACAGGAAAUUUUCCAGUUCCUGCAGGACCCCAUACAAUCACACAUCUUUACACAGCUGAACAACAACAGGCCCUCUGGUCAGUUGGGCUCCCACAUCCAUGGACAAUGCCUUGGUAAAGGCGUCAAGCUCUUGGGUCAGGAAUUUUGGGCAAAGCUCCUACCCCAAGGGUACAGCCAGUCUAACCAUGGGACUCCAAACUUCCCUGCUUAGAGGCCAAGACUACCUCAUCUACAAGGGGCCUUUCCCUCCCAAGUUCAGGCCCAGAGAACCAUGUUACCCAACUCCAGCUCAGGCACUACAUCUCAACAGGAAAAACUGUCAAUUUACAAAGCACCCUUCCCUGAAAAUCUGGCCAAGCUAAUAAAGAAUGUGAAUGCAUCAACGUGACCCUUCAGAGAAACAGGAUUCCAGGCCGAAUGUCAAACCGUCUGGGCUCCAGUAGCAGCCUCAGCCGUGGGGGUCAGGUUCAUGAUGCACCUAUGCUCUCAAUGCUCGAUGAACAUCUUAAUCUCACAGCAACAGUGGAUAACAUGAUCUUCAAGUUGGAGAUGUUGAGGGUCUCCCAAAACCACCCAGUGCCUUGCAAUGAAAACCUCCAACGGGACUGUGACCUUGCCCUUGUACUCACCUAAUGGUCAGAGGUCCCCGGUUCAAUUCCUGGCCAGGGCACUGGACAUUUCAGAAGUGCUUCAAGUGUUUCCCACCCAUCUAGAGAUGUACUGGUAUGAAACCCAGGUAAUUCUCACGUGUAUCGGUGCUAUACACUGAGCACGUAAAAGAACCAAGGGAUCUAUUUGCAAAGAGCUAGGGUAUGGCACCCGGAUUCCUUGUAUCUCAAUACUGUCUCUUCAGCUUGCUGUCUAUUCAGCAAAAACCAAGGACCCCAUUGGAAAUAAGUGUUUGCACUUUCAUGGGUUAUCCUUGACUGCAAGGUCAAAAGAAAUACACAUACACAUUUGUCAAAAUGACUAAAAACAGGGCAUCAACAAAAACAUGUUCCUUUAAAUAUUACUCAAUCACUGACAGUAAACGGAAAUUCUACAGAAAGAAAAUACUUUAAAAUAUUGCUCCAUUGUUUUACUGUAAACGAAUUGACUACAGGAAUAUAUCUUUAAACAUUUCC